UUGACUUUGGAGGCUGAGUCUUUCAGCCACUACGUGGGAUGAUGUGCCUCCCACCGCUUCCAUUUUUGGGAAUUGAAUGUGAAGGAAGAGUUGAGAAUGAUGUUACGAAAACUUUAUUCCAUAAGGAUCUGACAUGCAGCAGCUGAAAGCUGUUUAGGAUAUAUCAAAUACUUGAUAAUUGCUCACAGCCCUUAUAUCUCUACUGAACUCAGAAAUAAUUCAAGAUCAAGACACAAGAGUCAGGACCCGCUAAUCAUCGAAAGAAGAGAGAGACUUCACUCUGCCUGAUGAAGAAAGGCUGGGCUCCAGAGAACGACACUCCCAGAUAUGGAGGUGUUUCCGAAAUGGAGGCUUCCUCACAGAGCAGGAGAUAAGCAAGAUACUCUAGAGAAAUGUGGGAGAUGCAGAAGAGAAGCAUCGAAGGAAGAGACUUCAAAAGAGAAGAGCUGGAGAAGGUGCAAGGCCUUGGGACAUGUUUACACAGCUGAACGAGGCUGCAGCUUGUAAGGAACACCUAGAGCGCUUAACAUUGUCCAGGGCCAGAGCAUCCUUCACACCUGACCCUUCCUAGUGUUCUAGAAACCAAUUAGCUUGAAAUUCAACCUUGAAAAGCUAAACCAUUAGAUUGAUUAACACACUUGCUUAGCUGACUUUAUGCAUGUAGUCUUCAGCAGUUAUCCUAAUAAAAAGAAGCUUCAUUCUGGAGUCGGGGCCUCAUUCUGACUCACGUCUGACGACCUUCGCCUAACUGCAUUUUGUUUGCAGACUCAUCUUGUGUAACUCUGGCCAUACUCCCUGCAACAGAGAAA